UACGUAGGAGGCGAGCGUUGUCCGGAUUUACUGGGCGUAAAGCGCGCGCAGGCGGCAUGGCAAGUAAGGUGUGAAAUCUCCCUGCCUAACGGGGAGGGUGCAUUUUAGACUGCCAAGCUAGAGUGUGUCAGAGGGGGGUAGAAUUCCACGUGUAGCAGUGAAAUGCGUAGAGAUGUGGAGGAAUACCGAUGGCGAAGGCAAUCCCCUGGGCCUGCACUGACGCUCAUGCACGAAAGCGUGGGGAGCAAACAGG
rnacentral:rRNA from 1 species